CAACUGGAACUGAAACCCAGGACUCCGUCUCUUGCCAGUGAAAGUUAUGUUAGGAAGCAGUGAGGGGUCUAAAGCAGUAUGAAAGGCAAAGAGAAAAGGAAGGAAGACUGUACACAGAGAAUAAAUAACUUGGCCAAGCCAUUCAGCUAGGAAGUUGUAGAUCCUAAAUUAAGAGUUCAAGGUCUUAAUGGCUACUCUAUGCGGCCUCUCAUAGUCUUUUCAAGGGUUUUGGAGAAGAAUAAAAGAUCAGGCAUUGCUUUUGAACUCAGUCAUCUUUUCCCCCUUGCCCACUAGUUGCUUGUGAUACAUCAGUAUCCUCACUCACCCCCAACUCCAGAGGCUGAAACUAACUCUCCUCCUCCCUCUUCCAACUGCUGAGGAAGAUGAGUCAAUGGUGUUACUGGACCCUGUGAACUGAUGCUGUGAAGAGAGGCCAUUUAACACGGACUACGGGGAAUGGUGCCACAGGGGGCUCAGUGCUGCCCUUCACUCUCAGCAUUUUGCUCACUCAGCAUUGAUGACAGGAUGUCCCAAAAGUAACAAAAGAUGGGAGCCAGUCCUCUCAUAGCUGUUUCUUCAAUCAUCCCAUCAACAGCUCUUCAUUUAUUGAACUACCUUCCUUUUCCAAAGAGGUAAUGCUGAGAUCAGUCAGAAAGGCUUUCUGAGAAA
rnacentral:lncRNA from 1 species